rnacentral:rRNA from 1 species
GACGAACGCUGGCGGCGUGCUUAACACAUGCCAGUCGAACGGAAAGGCCCUGCUUUUGUGGGGUGCUCGAGUGGCGAACGGGUGAGUAACACGUGAGUAACCUGCCCUUGACUUUGGGAUAACUUCAGGAAACUGGGGCUAAUACCGUAUAGGAUCUCCUGCUGCAUGGUGGGGGUUGGAAAGUUUCGGCGGUUGGGGCUGGACUCGCGGCUUAUCAGCUUGUUGGUGGGGUAGUUGCUUACCAAGGCUUUGACGGGUAGCCGGCAUGAGAGGGUGACCGGCGACAUUGGGACUGAGAUACGGCCCAGAGUCGUACGGGAGGCAGCAGUGGGGAAUAUUGCACAAUGGGAGGAAGUCUGAUGCAGAAACGCCGCGUGCGGGAUGACGGCCUUCGGGUUGUAAAACGCUUUCGCCUGUGACGAAGCGUGAGUGACGGUAAUGGGUAAAGAAGCACCGGCUAACUACGUG